rnacentral:misc_RNA from 1 species
GAUGAAGAACGCAGCGAAAUGCGAUACUUGGUGUGAAUUGCAGAAUUCCGUGAACCAUCGAGUCUUUGAACGCAAGUUGCGCCCGAAGCCAUUAGGCCGAGGGCACGCCUGCCUGGGCGUCACACGUCGUUGCCCCCCCAUCUACUCCUUCGGGAUUGCGGGGGGCGGAUGAUGGCCUCCCGUGCGCCUCGUCGCGCGGUUGGCAUAAAUACCAAGUCCUCGGCGACGCACGCCACGACAAUCGGUGGUUGCGAAACCUCGGUUGCCCGUCGUGUGCGGUCGUCGCGCAUCGAGGGCUCGAAAAAAUUGCCGGGCUCCGGCUCGGCUUUCAACGCGACCCCAGGUCAGGCGGGGUUACCCGCUGAAUUUAAGCAUAUCAAUAAGCGGAGGA